rnacentral:rRNA from 1 species
AACGAACGCUGGCGGCAGGCUUAACACAUGCAAGUCGAACGCACCUUUCGGGGUGAGUGGCAGACGGGUGAGUAACGCGUGGGAAUCUACCCUUCUCUACGGGAUAGCUCCGGGAAACUGGAAUUAAUACCGUAUACGUCCUGAGGGAGAAAGAUUUAUCGGGGAAGGAUGAGCCCGCGUUGGAUUAGCUAGUUGGUGGGGUAAAGGCCUACCAAGGCGACGAUCCAUAGCUGGUCUAAGAGGAUGAUCAGCCACAUUGGGACUGAGACACGGCCCAAACUCCUACGGGAGGCAGCAGUGGGGAAUCUUGGACAAUGGGGGCAAGCCUGAUGCAGCCAGGCCGGGAGAGCGAUGAAGGCCCUAGGGUUGUAAAGCUCUUUCAGUGGGGACGAUAAUGACGUUACCAACAGAAGAAGCCCCGGCUAACUUCGUG